rnacentral:lncRNA from 1 species
CACAGGGCACAGGUGAGCUUGCUGCUGAGGGGUUGUGCAGCAAGGCAGUCCCAAGAUUUUGGAUUUUGCAGCUAGGCUUUUCACUGAGGGGGCUUGGUUCAGCCAGGACCACGGUGGGGAGUGACUCAUCCCAGAGCUCUCUGAGGUGGGGCCUUGGCAGAAAGCAAGAUGAGCAUAAAGCCCUGGAAAUGUCCAUCAGAUGCUGUGCUUCCUCUGAGGUUCCUCAGGUCACCUCCUUCUCUGUUACACAGGGUGGGAAGGGACACAGAGGUCUCGUCUUUCUCUUGAGCCAGACAUGGAGAAGGGUAGGCAACAGGAAGGGAGGGUUUACCAAGCCAGUGGCCAUGGGAGAGCUGACAGAGGUCAUCCUGCCAUGCACAAAGGGCUGGAUGGAGAAGGGGAGAAUGGGCUAGGAACCGGGUGUGCAGCAGCCUCCACCCUUUAACCUUUCUUUUGAUUGCAGGGAAGCUCUGGGAUUCCAGGCAAGGAAGGCCCUGGUGGGAAGCCUGGGAAGCCAGGAGUGCCAGGGCUGAAGGGAGAGAAGGUGAGUCCCAGGACUGGUUGGCCUAGGUUGGGAUGAGAAUGGGAGCCCUCUCUGCAGAUGACACUGAGCAUCAUGAUCAUGGACCUGGGCUGAGGGUACAGGACCUUCUUCAGGGUGACCCCUGUGAGGUGUGCCCAACACUGCCUGAAGGGUUCCAGAACUUUGUGGGGCUCCCCUGGAAAGCCAGGGCCUAAGGGGGGAACCAGGGGAUCCUGCACCAGUCAGGGAUGGCCUGGGAAGUGCUGGACAGAAAGGUGAUCGGGGAGACCCUGGCAUACAAGGCAUCAAAGGAGAGAAGGGGGAGCCCUGCUCACCUUGCACCUUAGUUGCCGAAGCCCAGUAUCUUGGCCCCUCGAUGGGGGCCCAAGGAGAAGUGGGCUCCUCUGGCUCCAAUUUGCCUGGCCUUCUGGAGAAAGCUGGGGCUCCAGGGCCAAGAGGGCUGAAAGGAGAGAAGGGUAAUUUUGGGGGAGGCAGGGCCAGUCGGCAGUACGGGACCACCAGGGCAGGUUGGACCAGCAGGCUCCAAAGGGGAAAAGGGGGAGCCUUGUGAGCCAUGCUCAGCCUUGUCUAAGCCUCAAGAUGGGGAUAGUCAUGUGGUACAUUUGCUUGGCCCAGCUGGAGAGAAGGGGGAGCCUGGACCUCCAGGCUUUGGCCUGCCAGGGAAAGCAGGUGAGUCCCUGG